rnacentral:sRNA from 1 species
UACAUUCGACCAUAGUGGACUCAGUUGC